GGGGGCGAAUUGGAUUCGACGCCGGGGUGGACGCCUUGUGGUGCAUGCCGAGAGGGUAGUAACUCUCGUUAAUCAAUUACUGCAACUACUAUAGUUGCCAACGACGAAACUUACGCACUGGCUGCCUAAAAACCCUGCCUUCGGGCAUUUUUUAAGUUAGCUUGCCCCGGGGAGGAUGUGCCCAUCUAUCCAAACCGGGGGCGCAUGACUGAUGGGAUCGCUGUGAUGCCUUGCUUGCGGCUAAGCAGUUAAGAACAAAGUGAGCUCGCCUUAUCCCCCUGCACGUCGGGAACGGUAAGGUCAAACUAUAGACGCUGCUAAGCAUGUAGAGCCUGGGGCCGAAGGCCGACGGACGCGGGUUCGAAACCCGCCGCCUCCACCA
rnacentral:tmRNA from 1 species